AACUGUUCGUUCUUCUUUAAAAUUCAAACUUAAUAAUGAAGCAAUAUUUUUAACAGACUGUUCUCGUUUAUAUGACCUCCAUGAAACAACAGGGUUAGAACACAUUGUGACGAAGUAAGAUGUUUGUUUUGUAGUCCAUCUUCAGCACAAUGUAGUUUCAACAGGCGGACAUCCGGUGUCACAUUGUUACAGAAAGACGAGUGUAAGGCUGUUCCAAUUCUCAGCACCGCUCCUCUCUUUUCCUGAGUCCUCAGCAGUUGUCCUCCCCCGAUGUCAUUUUCAUCGAGGCCAAGGAAAAGAGUUUAGGAAAAGGAGAUGGACUCCACUAGGGCAUGUGACGUAUUUCCGUUUCCAAAUACUACCGCUUGGACGUUUCCGGUAUGUUUGUUUAUCUAUCGCGACUUUUGAAAUAACACUCCACGGGGUUACGUUAUGAGUCACGUGACCGCACAGCAACAAAUCACAGCGGAGCCGGGUAAAAGGGGGCGGAGCAAAGUGUGUGCGCAGGAGAGGAGUCGAGCAGAGAGAGCUGGUUUUUCAUGAAACGGGAGUAAAGUAGUGAACUUACAGGAACAUAUACCACUACCAACGUUGGGAACGAUAUCUGCAUCGAUCUGCACACCCUUGUCUCCUGGAUCCUAGCUGGGAUCAGCCUGAACCACGUGGAUCUCUGCUCCAUGAUCUGUUUCUUAAGACGUCCAGCUUCAUCACGGAGUUUCUCUCGGUUUGUGGGCUCAUCUAAAGCUGAGUAACAGGAGAAGAGUCUGGUGGAGCAACAAAGGAACAAUUUCAGCCAUUUGGACUCAGCUCAACCACUACAGAGGAAACAAUGACUUCAACGCAAAAGGACCAACAUGGAGCGAGAAGUCAGCGC